AUCUUCGGUACAGAUGAUAUUGGAUCGACCUAAAUGAAACAAAAUCCUUCAAUAAAUUGUUUUCUAGUUUUCUAUGGCAUAUUAAAAAAAAGUUCUACUAACUAAGCUUCUUUUCGAUGAUGGAGUUGCUGGUGAUUGGUACACGUUGUCUGUUUACUUUGGCAAAGCCACGUUUGUAGAUCAAUUCGCGAACUGACUUCAAAUUAGGGUAGCCCCAUGUGAUGUAAGGUUCAACAAUACGUAACAUAUUGAUCGUUGCCUUG